rnacentral:tRNA from 3 species
GCUCGGGUGGUGGAAUGGUAGACACAAGGGACUUAAAAUCCCUUGGAGGCAACUCCGUGAAGGUUCGAGUCCUUUCCCGAGCA